UUUAUGGAACUGAGGGAGUACAACAAAAUAAGUUGCUUGGGUUUAAGGACAACAAACUGAAUAUUCAGGUUAGCAAAACAGAGCACUGGCACUUGUUUUAGCAGCGUAAUGUGUGUACUGCAGUUGCAAGAUCAGACACUAAAAUCUUAUUCUAACCAGCUGCAAGUUUUAGCAACAGCAUCAGGUUGUAAGGUAAAAAUACAGCUCUAAGGUUGAUGUACAAUCAGCCUUAAACUGAAAUCAUAAACACCCAUCAACUUGUUUGAUCUUCGUUUUCCCUAUUUUUUAGCCUAGCUCGUUGUUCUUGCCCAUCAUACGAAACACUUGGUUCUUGAUUUCACAUCUUAUUGGCAGUUUAUCAACUCAUCAUUUGAUAACCCUAGUCCUCGUUGAUGCACUGAUUUGUUUUGUUUCAUAAUCUGUAGUAAUAAAUAUAUUAUAAAGGGAUGAUAAAUUGGUGAAAGUGUAGUUUUAUCUAUUGUAUACCAGCAAUUAUAUUGAGCAUCAGACCAUUACAAACCAUUAUAUCAAGUAAAAAAAUUAUUUUAAAGGUUUAAUAAUACUAUCAGCCAAAAAACAUGUAAUCAUGAAAUGCAGAUUAGCAAUAAGUGCUUGUCAUCAAAACAUCAGGAGAAGUAUACAAAAAGAAAGGAAAAACAAUUCCAUGCUUUUGAAAUUUGAAUAAAUAGGUUGAUUUUUCCAGUUCUUGUAAGUUCACAGCAAAGAACAAAUAUGUAUGUCAUCAAAGGGACCAUGACAUUACUACACCAUCUAGGAAAAGUCAUUAUUACCCGUCUUUACAAAUGUUAGAUUAACCCUCACUAUUUUAAGAGAAAACCUUCACUGCGUGAUCUCGAUUAUAUCAGUAUGAGUAUUGUUUUUUAUCCCGUACUUUGCAUAAUUUGUCCAACUAAAUGUUGCAUUUGUGUGACCUUGUAAGAUUAGCAGGAUAGUAAUUGAUAAUACUAUUUCACAAAAUAAGAGACAUAGUUAAGUUUACAGUCUAAAUAUUGAACAAUAAAAAGGCGAGACAACAAAAGAUACUGCUUUUACUUUAUAACCUGAAGCACCACAAAGGGAAACAUCACAAAAGUUUCUAGAAGUUAUACUUCUACAACAUCAUAACCUGAAGGCAAGUAUGUACCUGAGAUAAUCGAUUGAACGCAAAGAUCCAUUUUACUUGGAGCAUGCUGGAAAUCAGAUCAACAAAUAGAGAAUUAUAGAAGAAAAUUAAAAGCCACUAUCCACCAGAGAUUCAAAACUGAAGAAUUCCUCAAAUGUCGUAGUAAUAAACUGUCCAGCAGCCAUCGGAGAUUAAAGUAAAGAAAUCCCAAAUCAAUAUGCCAAAACCAGCCUCCAAGUUUUACCCAAAUUAGUUGACCAAAUCAGUAUGAACACCGCCUGCACAAAAUAUUGAUCGGGGGAUAUUAGAACAUGUAAUCAUUUGGUGGAAGGACUCGUACAUGAAAGAAACAAAUGUGGAUAGAGGGUAACCUUGCCAUGAACCAUGCUACUAGAGGUUCAGCUGCUGGAGUAGGAAGGUUGCAGAUUCUUGUACAGAGGAAAAUACAAAGUCACACUUGUAUUAAGCGUCGCCGGUGCGUGACACAUCAUGAAUGGAUCCAGAAACUGAAGAUUGGUUACCCAGCAGAUCGAAACUCCUGCAGGAACGUGGUACAACCAAAACCACAUCAAAUCGGGAUGACUUCAGGAGGGCCAUGCUACUCGCUGAAUAUUAAGUGCUCACACCUGAAACCGGAUCCAGAAACUGAAGAGUAAGCGCUCGCACCUUAAACCAGCAGAUCAGGUUCACCAUAGAACGAACAGAUGGGAACAUACAGAACGCAAGAUCGGGAAGGAAGAGAAGAAAUCAACAUCAAACUGAUAGAUGGGGAACAUGGAAUUAAGGUGGCUGGAAGGGUCAGAGGCACGAUAUCAUCCGGAUUAGGAGCAGGCAGAUCAAGACGAUGAGCUUCGUGAGGCG
rnacentral:lncRNA from 1 species